CUGGGCUGGAGUGGGAGGAGGCAGGAGCAAGUGGCCAAGGUGUGCCCAACAGAAAACAGAGGUGGCUCUUCAGAGAGGAGAACAGACCAGAGGAACAGGACAGAGAGCAGCUGUGGCUGGCCGCCCCACCCACAUCUCCAGCCCCAAGGGCUUUCUCAAGUGUUCUGCAGUGCUCAGAGCCCUAGAAGACCUGGUAGGCGAGUGGUUGGUGGGAGCGGGGAAAGGAGAAGGAGGACAGCUAAAGCAACCAUUUUAAAAUGCACCAGAGCAUCCUGUUCUUAAGAAGGCUAAAAAAAGGCUGAGGAUGUAUCUCAGUGCAAAGUCCUUGAAUUCAAUCCCCAGUACUGAGAGAAAGAAAGAAAACCAAGACAAAAGAAAAAAGAAGGAACAAGCAUCAACUGACAGAUGUUGGGAUCGAACUCAGGACCUUGCGCUUCCGAGGCAGGCAGCAGAGCCAUUGAGCUAAAUCCCCGGCUGUGCAGUCAGGCAGGCUCUAUUGUAUGGGUGACAUCUGGAAAGCCCUGAAGAAGGGGUCGAACUUGGAACCUUGUGCUUGCGAGGCAGGCAGCAGCACCACUGAGCUAAAUCCCCAGCCCUGACUUUUUUUCUACGAGCAAUGGAUAGCCACUGAAGCACUUCAAGAAAAAGGACUAACUCUAAUGAGUAUUGGAGAAAGAUUGCUUUGGUAUGUUUUGGGAGGAUGGCUAUUGAUGACAGAGGAUUGGCAGCUGGAGACAAUGCUGACAGAGCAUACAGCACCUGGGAAGAAACAAUUACAGACUGAAAGACAAGAGAAAAUGUUUGCUGAGGGCUGGAGAUUCAGCACAGUGGUGCCACCACCUGCCUCGAAAGCACAAAGUCCUAAGUUCGAUCCCCGGUACUAAGAAAGAAAAAAAGAAAAUGUUUGCUGAACCUGCAUGUGGAGGAAAUCAGGUGGGUAUGUUAGAAACUCAAGAAGGCACAACCAGGGUGAGCUGUAGAAUCCCACCCCUUCCUGCCUUCAUCUGAGACCAAGAUCACACACCUGGGAACCAGUCUGCAAGCAGGAAGCACGAGAUGCAUGGUGCAUGCUAUUCAGAGCCCCCAAGGAGACAAAGCUAUGGAGUGGAUGGCAUGUUACAUGUAGAUGGAUGUUUUGAUUUUUUUCAUUGUUGUUUUAUGUCUGUGUGUUUUCCUAUUAAGGAUAAAAUAAAUCCACUCUGCCACUCAGAGCUCGACUUCCCUCCCUAGUCCUAGGUUCUGAUUAUUGAGGCAAAGUGACAUUUUCCUACAGUGCUGGUCAUUAUUUUGCUCCUGGAAUUGCAAAUCCAAGGACUAAAUGGCACAGUCUGCAUACAUCAAGGAGGGAAGGGAAUCCCACCAGAGGGGCCUUGAAACAAAGGAAACAAAUAACUUCAAAACCAUAUCAUGCAAUCUGGACCUGACAUAGGACAGAUGGGACUGAAUUGUUUGAUUCUCUCAGCAGAACAGCGGAAGGAAAUAUUUUUAAAUGAGAUUAUAUUAUUUUCCCCAGUUCUUGUUAUGAAACCUUCCUGAAAUGAACUUUAAAUAUCAUGGCCCCUGUUGUGAUGAAUGAGAUUCAGCAGACGGGAGGAGCACUGCAAGGAAGUGGCUCCAUUAUGGAAAAUGUGAGAGGCAGAGGCUGGCAUGAAGAGUGGACCCCUGUGGGCCCCUUGGCUGUGUGAAAAGCCAGGCUUUGAAGCACAGCUGGGUGUGUUAAGAAGGGACAAGGGGCUUUGAAAAGCUAUGUGCUCCACAAAAACAUUAAGUAAGGACAUUUGUUGUAAUAAAUAAAACAUCUUCUGCAUUCUUUGCCUUCAAUGAGAAAACGAUUUACAACUAGUUAUUGUAUAGAAGAG
ensembl:lncRNA